rnacentral:rRNA from 1 species
ACUCCUGCGGGAGGCAGCAGUGGGGAAUAUUGGACACUGGGCGCAAGCCUGAUCCAGCCAUGCCGCGUGAGUGAUGAAGGCCCUAGGGUUGUAAAGCUCUUUUGUGCGGGAAGAUAAUGACGGUACCGCAAGAAUAAGCCCCGGCUAACUUCGUGCCAGCAGCCGCGGUAAUACGAAGGGGGCUAGCGUUGCUCGGAAUCACUGGGCGUAAAGGGUGCGUAGGCGGGUCUUUAAGUCAGGGGUGAAAUCCUGGAGCUCAACUCCAGAACUGCCUUUGAUACUGAAGAUCUUGAGUUCGGGAGAGGUGAGUGGAACUGCGAGUGUAGAGGUGAAAUUCGUAGAUAUUCGCAAGAACACCAGUGGCGAAGGCGGCUCACUGGCCCGAUACUGACGCUGAGGCACGAAAGCGUGGGGAGCAAACAGGAUUAGAAACCCCUGUAGUCCCAUG